rnacentral:rRNA from 1 species
CAGCCGCCGCGGGAAUACGGGGGGUGCAAGCGUUAAUCGGAAUGACUGGGCGUAAAGGGCAUGCAGGCGGUGCGUUAAGUCAGAUGUAAAAUCCCCGGGCUCAACCUGGGGCGGUCGUUUGGGACUGACGUACUGGAGCGCUGUAGAGGGGGGUAGAGUUCCGGGUGUAGCGGUGAAAUGCGUAGAGCUCCGGAGGAACACCAGUGGCGAAGGCGGCCCCCUGGACAGAGACUGACGCUGAGGUGCGAAAGCGUGGGGAGCAAACAGGAUUAGAUACCCCUGUAGUCCCUGUCUCUUAUAC